AGAGUUUGAUCCUGGCUCAGGAUGAACGCUAGCGACAGGCUUAACACAUGCAAGUCGAGGGGCAGCAUGAUUUGUAGCAAUACAGAUUGAUGGCGACCGGCGCACGGGUGAGUAACGCGUAUGCAACUUACCUAUCAGAGGGGGAUAACCCGGCGAAAGUCGGACUAAUACCGCAUGAAGCAGGGGCCCCGCAUGGGGAUAUUUGCUAAAGAUUCAUCGCUGAUAGAUAGGCAUGCGUUCCAUUAGGCAGUUGGCGGGGUAACGGCCCACCAAACCGACGAUGGAUAGGGGUUCUGAGAGGAAGGUCCCCCACAUUGGUACUGAGACACGGACCAAACUCCUACGGGAGGCAGCAGUGAGGAAUAUUGGUCAAUGGCCGAGAGGCUGAACCAGCCAAGUCGCGUGAAGGAAGAAGGAUCUAUGGUUUGUAAACUUCUUUUAUAGGGGAAUAAAGUGGAGGACGUGUCCUUUUUUGUAUGUACCCUAUGAAUAAGCAUCGGCUAACUCCGUGCCAGCAGCCGCGGUAAUACGGAGGAUGCGAGCGUUAUCCGGAUUUAUUGGGUUUAAAGGGUGCGUAGGCGGUUUAUUAAGUUAGUGGUUAAAUAUUUGAGCUAAACUCAAUUGUGCCAUUAAUACUGGUAAACUGGAGUACAGACGAGGUAGGCGGAAUAAGUUAAGUAGCGGUGAAAUGCAUAGAUAUAACUUAGAACUCCGAUAGCGAAGGCAGCUUACCAGACUGUAACUGACGCUGAUGCACGAGAGCGUGGGUAGCGAACAGGAUUAGAUACCCUGGUAGUCCACGCCGUAAACGAUGCUCACUGGUUCUGUGCGAUAUAUUGUACGGGAUUAAGCGAAAGUAUUAAGUGAGCCACCUGGGGAGUACGUCGGCAACGAUGAAACUCAAAGGAAUUGACGGGGGCCCGCACAAGCGGAGGAACAUGUG
rnacentral:rRNA from 2 species